UGAAGAAUGUGGUUUCAGCUGGAAUCUAGUCUGAUCACGCAGGAAAUUGGAAUAAGAAUUGUACUCCAGGGAUGUCUCCCUUGAGUCAAGAGCUGGGCUUUUUGACCUUCUGUUGAGAAACCCUUCUGGGAACCAGAGUGGUUAGGAACAUGGACAUUGAAGUUAGAGCUGGAAUCGAAACUCAGUUCGAAUGCAGCCACCUUUUUGCUUUGCUGAGUGGGAAAUGCAAGAGGGAGGCUAGAGCCAUGUAAGAUGUGCCUGCUUCUCCUUCACCUUCUGCCAUGAUUAUAAGUCUCCUGAGGCCUCCGCAGAAACAGAAGCCACCAUGCUUCCUGUAUAGCCUGCAGAACUGUGAGCCAAUUAAACCUCUUUUUAAAAUAAA
rnacentral:lncRNA from 1 species